UUUGAUCAYGKWURWRGRUGAACGCUAGCGGCGGCCUAAUACAUGCAAGACGAACGGUAACUUUUGUAGCAAUACGAGAGCUAGAGUGUCGUAAGGGUGCGUAACACGUAUGCAAUCUGCCCUCAACAGGAGGAUAGCUCCCCGAAAGGGGAAUUAACACUCCAUAAGAUUGUGGUCUGGCAUCAGACAGCAAUUAAAACUACGGUGGUUGAGGAUGAGCAUGCGCAUGAUUAGUUAGUUGGCGGGGUAACGGCCCACCAAGACGAUGAUCAUUAGGGGAACUGAGAGGUUGAUCCCCCACACUGGCACUGAGAUACGGGCCAGACUCCUACGGGAGGCAGCAGUAGGGAAUAUUGGACAAUGGGUGCGAGCCUGAUCCAGCCAUGCCGCGUGCAGGAAGACWGCCUUCUGGGUUGUAAACUGCUUUUGCCAGGGGAUAAAACGUUCCUGCGGGGAUAAUUGAAGGUACCUGGUGAAUAAGCCACGGCUAACUACGUGCCAGCAGCCGCGGUAAUACGUARGUGGCAAGCGUUGUCCGGAUUUAUUGGGUUUAAAGGGUGCGUAGGUGGUUCCAUAAGUCAGUGGUGAAAUACGGCAGCUUAACUGUCGAGGUGCCAUUGAUACUGCGGAACUUGAGUACAGACGAGGUAKGCGGAAUUGACGGUGUAGCGGUGAAAUGCUUAGAUAUCGUCAAGAACACCGAUAGCGAAGGCAGCUUACUAGACUGUAACUGACACUGAKGCACGAAAGUGUGGGGAUCAAACAGGAUUAGWUACCCCUGGWARUCCACACUGUAAAACGAUGAUUACUCGAUGUUGGCGAUACACWGCCAGCGUCUUAGCGAAAAGCGAAUAAGUWAAUCCCMCCUGGGGGAGUACGCCCGSCAWGGGUGAACCUCAARGGAAUUGAC
rnacentral:rRNA from 1 species